rnacentral:rRNA from 1 species
CCUACGGGUGGCAGCAGUCGAGAAUCACUCACAAUGGGGGAAACCCUGAUGGUGCGACGCCGCGUGGGGGAAUGAAGGUCUUCGGAUUGUAAACCCCUGUCAUGUGGGAGCAAAUUAAAAAGAGAGUACCACAAGAGGAAGAACCGGCUUACUCGGUGCCAGCAGCCGCGGUAAUACAGAAGUCUCAAGCGUUGUUCGUAAUCACUGGGCGUAAAGCGUGCGGAGGCUGUGUCGUAAGUCGUGUGUGAAAGGCGCGGGGCCAACCCGCGGACGGCACAUGAUACUGCGAGACUAGAGUAAUGGAGAGGGAACCGGAAUGCUCGGUGUAGCAGUGAAAUGCGUAGAUAUCGCGCGGAACACUGGUGGCGAAGGCGGGUUACUGGACAUUAACUGACGCUGAGGCACGAAGGCCAGGGGAGCGAAAGGGAUUAGAUACCCUAGUAGUC